UAAAAAAAUUUUGAGUUAUGC
rnacentral:piRNA from 1 species